UGAUCAUGGCUCAGGAUGAACGCUAGCGGGAGGCCUAACACAUGCAAGUCGAACGGGAUUCACCUUCGGGUGAUGAGAGUGGCGCACGGGUGAGUAACGCGUAUGCAACCUGCCUUUAACAGGGGGAUAGCCCGGAGAAAUCCGGAUUAAUACCCCAUCGUAUUUAGAUUCCGCAUGGGAUUUAAAUUAAAGCUCCGGCGGUUAAAGAUGGGCAUGCGUGACAUUAGUUCGUUGGUGAGGUAACGGCUCACCAAGACUACGAUGUCUAGGGGUUCUGAGAGGAUGAUCCCCCACACUGGUACUGAGACACGGACCAGACUCCUACGGGAGGCAGCAGUGAGGAAUAUUGGUCAAUGGGCGCAAGCCUGAACCAGCCAUCCCGCGUGAAGGAAGACGGCCCUAUGGGUUGUAAACUUCUUUUGUACACCAAAAAAUGUCCGUACGUGUAUGGAUUUGACGGUAGUGUAUGAAUAAGC
rnacentral:rRNA from 1 species